rnacentral:rRNA from 1 species
GACGAACGCUGGCGGCGUGCUUAACACAUGCAAGUCGAACGGAAAGGCCCUUCGGGGUACUCGAGUGGCGAACGGGUGAGUAACACGUGGGUGAUCUGCCCUGCACUUUGGGAUAAGCCUGGGAAACUGGGUCUAAUACCGAAUACACCUUGCUGGAUGCAUGUCUGGUGGGGGAAAGCUUUUGCGGUGUGGGAUGGGCCCGCGGCCUAUCAGCUUGUUGGUGAGGUUACGGCUCACCAAGGCGACGACGGGUAGCCGGCCUGAGAGGGUGUCCGGCCACACUGGGACUGAGAUACGGCCCAGACACCUACGGGAGGCAG